UACGGAGGGGGCAAGCGUUGUCCGGACUUACUGGGCGUAAAGGGUGCGUAGGCGGUUGCAUGCGUCCGCGCUGAAAUCCCGAGGCUCAACCUCGGGGCGCGUGCGGAUACGAUGCGACUUGAGGCUCGGAGAGGAUAGUGGAAUUCCCAGUGUAGUGGUGAAAUACGUAGAGAUUGGGAAGAACACCAGUGGCGAAGGCGGCUAUCUGGACGGUUUCUGACACUAAGACUCGAAAGCGUGGGGAGCAAACAGG
rnacentral:rRNA from 1 species